rnacentral:rRNA from 1 species
CCCUGUUAUUYUAUUAUAAUAUAAUAUUUCAAAAAAAAAUAAAAUAAUAAAUUUGACGGUAUUAACUUUUACAAAGGAAUUUGUUUCUAAAUCGAAAACACACGAUAAACCUUACUUAAUUUAUAUUUGUAUACCACCGUAUACAGUAAUUAUUUAAAACAAAUUUCAUAAAAAAAUAAUUUUCUAAGAUCAGGUCAAGGUGCAAUAUUAUUAAGAUGAAAUGAAUUACAUUUUAAAAUUAAAACGUAUAAAAAUUGAAAUAUUUUUAAAAACAGAAUUUGUUAGUAAAAUUUAAUCAUAAUGUUUUUUUGAAAACUAAUAUUAAUAUGUACAUAUCGCCCG